CGGAGGUAGUUCGGGGAGGACAGGUGGUGCAUGGUUGUCGUCAGCUCGUGUCGUGAGAUGUUGGGUUAAGUCCCGCAACGAGCGCAACCCUAUUGCUAGUUACCAUCAUUAAGUUGGGGACUCUAGCGAGACUGCCAGUGAUAAACUGGAGGAAGGUGGGGAUGACGUCAAAUCAUCAUGCCCCUUAUGACCUGGGCUACAAACGUGAUACAAUGGCUGGAACAAAGGGAUGCGAAGCAGUGAUGUGGAGCGAAACCCAUAAAAACAGUCUCAGUUCGGAUUGAAGUCUGCAACUCGACUUCAUGAAGUCGGAAUCGCUAGUAAUCGCGGAUCAGAACGCCGCGGUGAAUACGUUCUCGGGGUUU
rnacentral:rRNA from 1 species